UGACUCAGUUGGUAGAGAGUGGCGCUUGCAAUGCCAGGAUUGUGGGUUCGAUUCCCUC
rnacentral:tRNA from 1 species